GACGAACGCUGGCGGCGUGCCUAAUACAUGCAAGUAGAACGCUGAAGGAGGAGCUUGCUUCUCUGGAUGAGUUGCGAACGGGUGAGUAACGCGUAGGUAACCUGCCUGGUAGCGGGGGAUAACUAUUGGAAACGAUAGCUAAUACCGCAUAAUAGUAGAUGUCGCAUGACAUUUGCUUAAAAGGUGCAAUUGCAUCACUACCAGAUGGACCUGCGUUGUAUUAGCUAGUUGGUGAGGUAACGGCUCACCAAGGCAACGAUACAUAGCCGACCUGAGAGGGUGAUCGGCCACACUGGGACUGAGACACGGCCCAGACGCCUACGGGAGGCAGCAGUAGGGAAUCUUCGGCAAUGGACGGAAGUCUGACCGAGCAACGCCGCGUGAGUGAAGAAGGGUUUCGGAUCGUAAAGCUCUGUUGUAAGAGAAGAACGAGUGUGAGAGUGGAAAGUUCACACUGUGACGGUAUCUUACCAGAAAGGGACGGCUAACUACGUG
rnacentral:rRNA from 1 species